AAGAUAUAUCAUCAAGAUUCGAUAAUCUACGCUUUAUUUCACUUGAGUUACCACAGCAGCCGAAUUCAUUCGACUGUGGUUUAUUCUUGCUCCAUUAUGUAGAACUUUUCUUGGAGCAAGCCCCGAUUAAUUUUAAUCCAUUUAAAAUCACAAAAAGUGUCCACUUUGUAAGGACAUGGACCAUUUAUGUAAAUAUUAAUAAUAUAAGUGAGUUGUUGUUUGUGAAUAUGUGACUCAGCUAAAUACGGAUUGGUUUCCACCUGCUGAUGCAUCCUUGAAAAGGGUGGUUAUUCAGAGACUAGUGUAUGAUCUCCUACAACAACCUUAUGAUGAAGUUGAAGCCUUUUACAAAGUAUUUUCCCAACUUUGACCAGCCUUUUGAAGAAGUUAUAUAUCCAAAAGAGGAUGUUGAUGUUGUUUCCAUUAGUAAGAGAGACGUUGAUUUGCUGCUACCAGACACAUUUGUCAAUGACACCAUCAUUGACUUUUAUGUCAAGUAUGUUUAUCUUACUUAUUUGAUAGAAUAAAUUACUUUCAUAACAAUCCAUAUUACAAAUAUAAAAACUUAAAUGUACAUCAGACUAGAAGUCUUUACAUAUGAAAUUGUAUUCUAAAUUUCUAACUGAUGACAGAUACUUGAAGAACAAAAUCAGCAAAAUGAAGCCACUUGAUUUAAAUCUUGCAGCAUUAUCAGCAAAAUGCAAUAAAGACUUGGAGUUGAAUUUGGCUAAGUCAUUAUUGAGUGAGAUGGGCCAAUGUACAACUGCUUAUCCAUAUAAUCAACUGUUUGGAGCAUUAGUCUUAAAGAAUUAUGAAAGGAAAGAUGCAACUUUACUUAGUUGGAAUUUGAUGUACAUAGUAGAUUAGAUGCAAAUUUAUAUAUUGUAAGAAAUAGAAUUGUAUGACAUUAGAUUUAUGCAAUGUAUUCUAUUUUUUGUAUAU